AUUGAACGCUGGCGGCAUGCUUUAUACAUGCAAGUCGAACGGUAACAGGUUAAGCUGACGAGUGGCGAACGGGUGAGUAAUGCAUCGGAACGUGCCCGGGCGUGGGGGAUAACGCAGCGAAAGCUGCGCUAAUACCGCAUACGAUCUAAGGAUGAAAGCGGGGGACCGUAAGGCCUCGCGCGAUCGGAGCGGCCGAUGUCAGAUUAGGUAGUUGGUGGGGUAAAGGCUCACCAAGCCAACGAUCUGUAGCUGGUCUGAGAGGACGACCAGCCACACUGGGACUGAGACACGGCCCAGACUCCUACGGGAGGCAGCAGUGGGGAAUUUUGGACAAUGGGCGAAAGCCUGAUCCAGCAAUGCCGCGUGCAGGAAGAAGGCCUUCGGGUUGUAAACUGCUUUUGUACGGAGCGAAAAGGUCUCCUCUAAUACAGGGGGCUCAUGACGGUACCGUAAGAAUAAGCACCGGCUAACUACGUGCCAGCCGCCGCCGUAA
rnacentral:rRNA from 1 species